UACGGGAGGGUGCAAGCGUUUGUCCGGAAUCACUGGGCGUAAAGGGCGCGUAGGCGGCUCAUGAAGGCUGUGGUGAAAGUCCGGGGCUCAACCUCGGAUCGGCCGUGGCGACUCGUGGGCUGGAGCACUGUAGAGGCGGGUGGAAUUCCGGGUGUAGCGGUGGAAUGCGUAGAGAUCCGGAAGAACACCAGUGGCGAAGGCGGCCCGCUGGGCAGUGGCUGACGCUGAGGCGCGACAGCGUGGGGGAUCAAACAGGG
rnacentral:rRNA from 1 species